AGUGCUACAACUCUUUUCUACAGGUUUUUUCAGGCCAAUAUUAUGAUUGGAUAUAAAACUAUUAGAAGUUGUUUCAAGAUACAAGACUUAUGUUGAUGUUUCCCAUCUGAGACAUGUGGUGCCCCUAUCAGAGGGUCUGUAUUUGUGGUGGCGUGAUGCUGCUCAAGCAACCCUGCAGCAGAAGAAAGUGUGUUGCCGAUCCUCUUGGGACCUCAUUCAAGAUCUUUGUCAGCUUUGUCGCCGUUACAUUCAGUUGUACGCUGGUUCACUACAACACUCGUCAAUUAUUAAUAAUGCAGAAAUUAGAGAAAUUGAGGAAGAUUUGGAUUCUAACAUAAUUCUUUUAUGGAGGAAGGUGAUUACAUAAUCCACUGAGCUGGGAAAAAGGGUAAAAUCAGUUAUGGGUCGCUAUAUGUAGGAAUGCAUGGAUACAUUGAUAGGAAAAUCUCAUUAUUUUGUUGGUCUUUUAUCUUGAACACUUGUAAACAUGUUCUUUAUGAGGAAUAUUUAUGUAGUUUCAUUAUAGACAUUCCAUUUCUACUAUUGAAUUGCUUUUUACAGCCGAGACUGUCAUCUUUGAUUUUAUGAAAAUUUUAAAUUUUUGGUUUUA